UCUGGGACAAGCCCUGGAAACGGGGUCUAAUACCGGAUAACACUCUGUCCCGCAUGGGACGGGGUUGAAAGCUCCGGCGGUGAAGGAUGAGCCCGCGGCCUAUCAGCUUGUUGGUGGGGUGAUGGCCUACCAAGGCGACGACGGGUAGCCGGCCUGAGAGGGCGACCGGCCACACUGGGACUGAGACACGGCCCAGACUCCUACGGGAGGCAGCAGUGGGGAAUAUUGCACAAUGGGCGAAAGCCUGAUGCAGCGACGCCGCGUGAGGGAUGACGGCCUUCGGGUUGUAAACCUCUUUCAGCAGGGAAGAAGCGAAAGUGACGGUACCUGCAGAAGAAGCGCCGGCUAACUACGUGCCAGCAGCCGCGGUAAUACGUAGGGCGCAAGCGUUGUCCGGAAUUAUUGGGCGUAAAGAGCUCGUAGGCGGCUUGUCACGUCGGAUGUGAAAGCCCGGGGCUUAACCCCGGGUCUGCAUUCGAUACGGGCAGGCUAGAGUGUGGUAGGGGAGAUCGGAAUUCCUGGUGUAGCGGUGAAAUGCGCAGAUAUCAGGAGGAACACCGGUGGCGAAGGCGGAUCUCUGGGCCAUUACUGACGCUGAGGAGCGAAAGCGUGGGGAGCGAACAGGAUUAGAUACCCUGGUAGUCCACGCCGUAAACGUUGGGAACUAGUGUUGGCGACAUUCCACGUCGUCGUGCCGCAGCUAACGCAUUAAGUUCCCGCCUGG
rnacentral:rRNA from 1 species